rnacentral:rRNA from 1 species
AACGAACGCUAGCGACAGGCCUAACACAUGCAAGUCGAGCGAAGCCUUCGGGCUUAGCGGCGGACGGGUGAGUAACGCAUGGGAACGUGCCCUUUGGUACGGAAUAGCCCCGGGAAACUGGGAGUAAUACCGUAUGUGGUCGAGAGACGAAAGAUUUAUCGCCGAAGGAUCGGCCCGCGUUGGAUUAGGUAGUUGGUAGGGUAAUGGCCUACCAAGCCGACGAUCCAUAGCGGGUUUGAGAGGAUGAGCAGCAACACUAGGACUGUGAUACCGCCAAGACUCCUACGGGAGGCAGCAUUGGGGAAUCUUAGACAAUGGGGGAAACCCUGUUCUAGCCAUGCCGCGUGAUGAAUGAAGGCAUUAGGGUUGUAAAGAUCUUUCAGUGGGGAAGAUAAUGACUGUACCCACAGAAGAAGCCCCGGCUAACUCCGUGCCAGCCGCCGCCGUAACAC